rfam:Schistosoma mansoni strain Puerto Rico chromosome 1, complete genome
AUCCAGCUGACGAGUCCCAAAUAGGAUGAAAAGCGCGUCCUGGAU